CUACGGGUGGCUGCAGUGGGGAAUAUUGCACAAUGGGGGAAACCCUGAUGCAGCAACGCCGCGUGGAGGAUGACGCAUUUCGGUGUGUAAACUCCUUUUAUAUAGGAAGAUAAUGACGGUACUAUAUGAAUAAGCACCGGCUAACUCCGUGCCAGCAGCCGCGGUAAUACGGAGGGUGCAAGCGUUACUCGGAAUCACUGGGCGUAAAGCGCGCGCAGGCGGCCUUUUAAGUUGGAUGUGAAAGCCUACGGCUCAACCGUAGAACUGCAUCCAAAACUACUAGGCUAGAGUCUGGGAGGGGAAGAUGGAAUUAGUUGUGUAGGGGUAAAAUCCGUAGAGAUAACUAGGAAUACCAAAAGCGAAGGCAAUCUUCUGGAACAGUACUGACGCUGAGGCGCGAAAGCGUGGGGAGCAAACAGGAUUAGAUACCCUAGUAGUC
rnacentral:rRNA from 1 species